AGGCAGCAGUAGGGAAUAUUGGGCAAUGGAGGCAACUCUGACCCAGCCAUGCCGCGUGAAGGAUGACGGCGCUCAGCGUUGUAAACUUCUUUUAUCAGGGAAGAACUAUGGGGAUGCGUCCUUAUUUGACGGUACCUGAGGAAUGAGCACCGGCUAACUCCGUGCCAGCAGCCGCGGUAAUACGGAGGGUGCAAGCGUUGUCCGGAUUUAUUGGGUUUAAAGGGUGCGCAGGUGGUUCUGUAAGUCUGAUUUGAAAGCCGGCGGCUUAACCGUCGGAUGUGGUUGGAAACUGUGGAACUUGAAUGGCGUAGCGGGAGCCGGAAUGGGUCAUGUAGCGGUGAAAUGCAUAGAUAUGACCCGGAACACCGAUUGCGAAGGCAGGCUCCUUGGCGUUGAUUGACACUGAGGCACGAAAGCAUGGGUAGCGAACAGGAUUAGAUACCCUGGUAG
rnacentral:rRNA from 1 species